GGAAUCUAAAUCACGAUAGGACAUUGAUCAUCAUCAUCAUUGUUCGACCGUGGUUGAGACAGUGGAAUUUACUGUGCUACGCCAGAUUUCACGGCCCAUCAUAGCAUUACGGAGGUCCUGUUGCUGGAUGCCUCUAUCCCAGGAGAUUACAUCAAGGUAGGAGAGUGUGCGCCCUCUGGUAUCGCAAGUAGACGGCUUCUAGAGGAGAAGAGUAGAAAUUGCCUCGUUUUCAGCUCUACAACAAUGUUCAGCAAACUGGACUCUCCUACCUUUCACAAGAGAUGAUACACGUGGUAGUUUCCCAUAUAUUUGUACUUUGGUAGGAUGACGCUUCCGCGAGAGAUUUUGAGGCGAGUGUAAGUUCCAUCCAACCGCCUCUCAAGCUUCUUUGAUAACGUCCAGGUUUCUGAGCCAUA